CAUCAUUUAUUCUUAUUAAUAAACCUCAAGAUAAACAAUCAUUAUUCAUAUUCCAACUGAAUACUUACAUAAAACAUCUAAAAUAAAGUCUCCAAAGAAAAGUCUCUAAUCCAAAAAAUAAAAAGUCUAACCAAAUUUAAUCUUUAAAAAAACUCCAAAGAUCCACUAAGAAAAUUUCUCCAUCUAAGAACUCAAGCCACAUCUCUAAUCAAUCUGCAAAAUAUUGGAGACGAGGGGUGAGCCGUCAACUCAGUAAGCAAAUCCAUGCACAAUAUUUGAAAACUUUUGUCAUUUACCUUUAAACAUUUUAUAAUAAUAUCUUCAUUUAGCAUAAGGGGUGGAUUCAUGUAAAAUCAUUAAAACAUUCAUAAAAACAUUAAAACAUAAACAUUGGUAGCUCAUGCCUCGUAGUCAUCAUCAUUCAUCAUUUAUCAUUCAGGGUACUAUACCCCGCAUUAUUGUUCAUAACAUCCAUGUGCACAAGAUCAUCAUCAUACCAGCAAGUUGACCAUAGCAUUACAUAACAUCAUAACAUUUGCAUCAUAUACAUUAUUACGAACUAUGAGCCAAAAUAUUUUUGAAUCCACCUUACAUUCUUUCAUAAAUAGUAUUUAAAGUCUUCUAAAACAUUUAAGAACUUUUCUUUGAACAUUUAAUUCUUUUAGAAAAUUCUUUAAGAAAACAUUUCGUUUAAGAAAACUAAUUUCUUAAGAAUUAAAAAAAAUUAUAUAAAUUCAUUUAAAAGUGUUUUUAUUUUACAAAAUUCAUUUAAAUAUUUUAAAAAUUAGUUUUGUAAAACUUUUCAUUCAAACAUAAAUUGCAUUUAUUAUAAAGCGCAUCAUGCAUGAAUCUACUUACCUCGAUCCGCAACAAUCAACUCAAUACCUCAAGAACAAACUAAGGAGCUCACCCACGUCCUAUAAUCAUCAUAAAAGUAUCCUUAUCAAUAUUAUCUAUAACCUUAAACAUAAUCCCAAUCAUCCUUAAAUCAUAGUCACUUAUACUAGCUCAAAACUUAUACAUAUUCUAGACUUAAACAUGAGUAUCCUGCACAUGCUGAUUUUUAAUAACCUAUACACAUGUCGGAAAACCAUGAAAAUUUACAGAGGCACUGUAAAUAUGCAUAGCAUUGCAUAAAAUAUUUCACAAAAAUCAGCACAAGUGAAAAUCGAGUCAGAAUAUUGACAUUUCACCAAAGUAACAAAACUGCCCAGCAUUGACCAAAACAGACCUUUACCACUCAGGAAAUUCGCAUAAUAUGCUUUAGUACUCGAAUAAUAUGUUUUUUUUUUUGUAAUUACAGAAGACACAUUCAGAAAGCAUGUAAUUAAAAUUUAUAAUUUUUGGACGCCUGAAACUAUUUUAUAAGCGUUUUAUUUCCGAGAACAUCUAAUCUGUCCAGAAAAUUCCAGAUUUGAAAAUAGAAUUUCAAAAAUUCAUAUCUUUUAGUUUACAUGCCCAAAAAUCGCGAUUCCAGUUUUUAAAGACAGAGGAAAGAUUGAAAUUUCAUUAUAAAAUCCUAACAUGGCCUGUAAUAUUCAUAAAUUAGCCUAAACUGUUACACGUAUCAGCUUCUGCAUUUCGGGAAAACAGUUUCCAGAUCUGCAGCAGCCGCAUGUUACAAUUUUUAAUAAUUUAACCAUAAUGAAUAAAAUUACGAAAUUAAACAUGCAAUCAUAUUAGACAUAGAUCUGUUGAUAAAACAAUCGCCAUAAUUUUUAAGGACCGUAUGGAAAAGUUUCCAGAAGUGAGAACCGCUGCUGAAAAUCGGAAUUUUCCAGCACCAGUAACCCAACUUCGAAAAACCAUAACAAUUUGCAUACUCAGAGGAUUUCAACACAAGACCUAUCAAUGGAAAGCUUAGGAUGUCUAGUUUCAUGAUUUGUAAACGUAUUUAUGUGAUUCCAAAUAAAGAAAACGAUUUCAAGCAAAGAAUACAGAUUGUUUCAUCACAACAUUAUAAACACACAUAUAUUACCUAGAUCAUACCACAAGUAAUUAAAUGCAAACAACUAAUAAAAAUAAAUCAAAGAAAUACUUAAUACCUCAAGGCAAACGCCAAGCAAAGAGGUUAUAAAACUUUCUUUUUCUUCUCCAAAGGCUUAUGUUUUUUUUUUUCUGAGGUUUGUAACGGCA
rnacentral:lncRNA from 1 species